GAACCCACCAGGGUUGAAAACCUGGGGGAUGAACUGUGGGUAGGGGUGAAAGGCCAAUCAAACUCCGUGAUAGCUGGUUCUCCCCGAAAUGCAUUUAGGUGCAGCGUCGCGUGGUCCCUGGUGGAGGUAGAGCUACUGGAUGGCCGAUGGGCCCUAUGGGUUACUGACGUCAGCCAAACUCCGAAUGCCAUUAGGUGUAGCGCGGCAGUGAGACUGCGGGGGAUAAGCUUCGUAGUCGAGAGGGAAACAGCCCAGAUCAUCAGCUAAGGCCCCUAAGCGUACGCUAAGUGGGAAAGGAUGUGGAGUCGCGGUGACAACCAGGAGGUUGGCUUAGAAGCAGCCAUCCUUGAAAGAGUGCGUAAUAGCUCACUGGUCAAGUGGUUCUGCGCCGACAAUGUAGCGGGGCUCAAGCGUACCGCCGAAGCUGUGGCAACAACACGUGAUACUGGCGCCAGGAACUGGAGUGCUGGUGUGUUGUUGGGUAGGGGAGCGUCCUGCACGAGGUGAAGCCUGGAGGGAACUUCUGGUGGAUUGUGUGGGAGUGAGAAUGCAGGCAUGAGUAACGAAUCUGCGGUGAGAAUCCGCAGCGCCGAUUGACUAAGGGUUCCAGGGCUAGGUUUAUCCGCCCUGGGUUAGUCGGGUCCUAAGGCGAGGCCGACAGGCGUAGUCGAUGGACAACCAGUUGAUAUUCUGGUACCGCGUUGUGACCGCCCAUGCUGAAGUCAUUGUGCUAACCAAUUUGCUCACGCCACUUGUAAGCCUUCGGGUUUGUGGGUGUGUGUGGGUCUUGGGGCCCCGGUGAUUGUAGGCAAGCGUGUUAACAGGGGUGACGCAGACAGGUAGCUGCAGUGCGCCGAUGGUUGUGCGUAUUUAAGGUUGUGGCCCGCCUCCCAGGCAAAUCCGGGGGGCAUGUGGGUGAGAACUGAUGAGGGACACACGCGUGUGUGGACUUGUGGUGAUCCUAAGCUGCCGAGAAAAGCCUCGACGUGAGGGCAUAACGCGCCCGUACCCUAAACCGACUCAGGUGGUCAGGUAGAGUAUACCGAGGCGUUCGAGUGAAUCGUGGUUAAGGAACUCGGCAAAAUUCCUCCGUAACUUCGGGAUAAGGAGGACCCCGUGACUUCCCAGUGUCUUGCAUGCUGGUGGGGUUGUGGGGUCGCAGAGAAUAGGGAGAAGCGACUGUUUAUCAAAAACACAGGUGCGUGCGAAGCCGUAAGGCGAUGUAUACGCACUGACGCCUGCCCGGUGCUGGAAGGUUAAGAGGAACCGUCAACACUCCUUGUGGGUGUGAAGCGGUGAAUUUAAGCCCCAGUAAACGGCGGUGGUAACUAUAACCAUCCUAAGGUAGCGAAAUUCCUUGUCGGGUAAGUUCCGACCUGCACGAAUGGCGUAACGACUUCCCCACUGUCU
rnacentral:rRNA from 1 species